rnacentral:lncRNA from 1 species
CACAUGAUGUGUAAUUUGUCAUAUGACACUGAUGAACGGACUGAUCCCUCUGCGAGCGAGCGUCACUUACGUCUUCUGUAAAAACUCGGCAGCUCGUUGGGCACUUGUCAGGGAUGCUGUAGCCUGACAUUGUUUGGUGGUAGUACUUGAUAAUAUCUGGAGGAUGGACUGCCGAAGAGUUCUGCCUGCGAUAUGCGCCGCUUGUUUCAUAGGCAUGGUGGUGAGUCAGACCACACUAGCUCCGGCUGUGAUGAACACCACUUUCAUCGAGAAUGUGACCGGUCUGACUAUGACUCCCGUGAUUCUCAGCAGCACGACCCCGGGCUGCCUUGCCUUCAACACUUCUACAUGUGAGCCCUGUGCACCGGGAUCGCAAUACGACAACAACACCCUGCUGUGUGCCUGCUGUUCUGACCCCGGGCUGUGUCUAUUUCCUGGUGCCUGCCUGCCAUGCAACAGUGGUUUCUAUCAGCCACUAGCGGGACAGCAGCAGUGUCUGCCCUGCAACCGGGGCUUCUACACAAAUUUCACUGGAAGUCCAUUAUGUAACCCCUGCCCUACUGGAUCCUUCAACAAUAACACUGGUGGAGACAGUUGCACAAGUUGUUUACCAGGUUUCUUUUCAUCGCAGCAGAGUUCCACUUCAUGUGCACCAUGUGCACCGGGAAGUUUUUGCAACUCCUCAGGUUGUAGCCAGUGCCAGAUGUGUCCUGGAGGAACAGAAGCUCUACAGACUGCCGCUCAAGGCUGCACACUGUGUCGGCCAGGCAUGCACAAGCUUCCCCAUCAGGCUAUGUGUCAAAUCUGCGGCAGUGGCUUCUUCCAGAUCCACUGGGGCAAGGAGAGCUGUGAUUUAUGUCCGGAGAAUCACUACUGCCCUAGUCCGGACGUGAACCCCAUUCAGUGUCCCAGCGAUGCAUUUUGUCCAGAGGGCAGCUUGUCUCCGGGCUACUGCAUGGAGACUUUCUUCCGCAAAGAUGGGGAAACUUGUGAAUUGGCUCCUGUCACCAUGGCUCUAUUAGUUAUUGGAGGAGGGGUGGCCCUACUCUUCAUCAUUUUAAUGGUCCUACGUCGACGGAGAGACACUGAUGGAGAACUGACUGUAGCCCGAGCUCCAUUAUUACGCAAAGAACGACCUCAAGGUCGAUACUAUGGGAUGCCCUGUGAUGCAGAACCUGUGUACGCUGGCUGGUGAAACAAAGGACCUCAUCUUAGCUUUCCUAUGCUUGUUAUCACUGUUUGGGUCCCAAUUAAAGACAAAAGGACUGAUUAAGGAAGACUAAUGGUAAAACACUGGACUGGUGCCUUGAGAGUACUUUGACAAUCCACCAGUUUGUUUUAUUUCUGGUACAUUUGAAUAUAUUUUUGAGAAACAGAAUGUUUUGUGAAUUCUUGUAGUUUGACACUGUUACAGUUGAUCCACUCAGAGACAAACACGCUCCUUUUGUAAACUAGAUUAUCGGAUUAUGAGAGGCAUGUUGGAACGGUGAAAAUUAGAUGCGUGCCUUGACUUGGUGGGAACCUCUCUGUCUUAUGAAAAGCACUUUUUUUACAGAGGUAAUUGAUUUACUUUGCACUUAUGUGUUGGUAGACUUGUGGAUGCCUCCAUUAACUUGUGUAGUUCCACAGUUACAGAGAGGUGUAAACUGUGGUUGGUUAAUGUUUUUCAUCUGCUUUUUUAAAGGUUAUAUUUGUAUGUUUUAAAGGAAAAUAAAUAAACAUGAACAACUUCAGCCUCAUGUCUUACUCUUUUGUACUCAUUUGAAUUUUAUUGAAAGCUUAAAAUAUAAUGUUUUGUGUUUUGUUUUUUAAAAUCUAUGUGACAAAAACAUUAUCAUUUAAAGGCCCUUUCACACAGUGCCGUAUGGCAGAAACGUAUGCCGGCGUAUACGAAAUAUCGGCAAUGCCCUGGUGUACGUUGAUAUAAAUUAGUUGUAAGUUGUGAUCGUUCGAAGGACGCAGACGAAACGCCGAACACGCCAGACAUACGGCCCUGUCACACAGUUGCGUAUGGCAGAAACAUGACAGCGUAUAUGAAAAGCAGCUCAAAAUUUUUCAGAGUCCAAAUACGUCCAACUUUUCCACAGCAGUGUUGUAUCUGACGUAUACAUAACAAAUUAUUAUACGUAUGUGAAACACAUUGAUAGCGUAUCACUUCCUUAUAC